rnacentral:lncRNA from 1 species
AAAAUCAAUAUCUUAAUUCUAAAAAGGAAUAUAAGAUUUUUUGCCAAAAUAUCAACUAUUAAUGAUUUAAGUGAUCUAUCAUAAGAUCAUAAACAAACUCUAAUAUGCUCUCAGUAAACAAACAUUCGAACAAAAGGUCAAUACACAAUCUUACAUUAUUUCCAACAAAUAGAGAUGCAUAAGCUUCAAUUUUAGAAGAAGAGAAAUUCACCUAUAUAUAUUUCAACUCCAAGAUCAAAAUUGAUGGUUCACUAACUAAGAUUCAAAAUGCUAAAAAAAUUUUCUUAGCAUGGU